GUCUCAGUCCUAGCAAUGUUGGCUGCACGGAUGCACACAGGGGGGAGGAGUUUGUAGCCGCAUUUGCAUGAAGGCUCAGACAGGCAGACGCUAAUAGACCCUGCUGUGCAGCUUCUGUCUCCACUUCAGAAUCAGGUCCAAGGUGACAACGUAAGGCAGACCGACUCUACACAAGUGACAGCUGCAGCCUGUGAGGUCAGGCAGUGAAGGAUUAUGGGAAAGCAGUCAUCUGACAGAGUCCCCUGAUUUUUGCUAUCCUUGGUUGCCACAACAGAUGUCUUUAGUCCCGCCCUCAUGAUAACAAGCCAUGUAAUCUGCAAGCUGUGCCCUGCUUACUGAAACAUAGAAGGUCUCUGUGUCUUGCUGGUUGGCCCGUCUCUUGGCUGUGCUUGUUUUACUGCUGGUGUCUGAUCCUGUGGAUUUCAAGGAUUCCGUAGACUGGCUGGACUGAAACGCAUCUGACAAGUCAAAGUCUUCAGCGCCAAUGAGAUCCAGUAGAGCCUGAAGAGUCGCUUUGAGGGUCUUGUUCACCUGCAAAGGUGCUCCUUUUCCAGUCUGGACUGAAUGUGCUGGAAGCGAGUAAUUAGUUCUUGGUGGAACAGCGGCUCAGACCGAACUUCAGAUACCUGAAGAGAGAGACGUGAUGCGAUGUAAGAUUUUAUAAAGGACACAAUGAACUACUUUGCUCAUCUGGCUUCCAGUAUCCCCUCUACAUUGACGACAUCCAAUUGUACUUCUCCCCACCCCAUUCUCACCUUCUUCACGAUCUGAUAUCCAAAUGCUAACCAAAGCUGAACAUCCCCAUAACAUGGCGGCUCUCCUCCCAGAGCUGCCACCACCAAAUGCUUACCAUCAACUAUAACAUCAUCUCCUCAGUCUCCCAAUCCUCCGGGUUUGGUGUCUUCCCUGACUGCCUGCUGCUUUACUCUUCCCAUCCAAUCCAACAGCCUCGUCAUCAAAAUGCUGCUAGUAUACAUCCUUUUCUUACCCACGAUGCAAUCUAAGCUCCUCCACUCUCUCAUCAUCUCUCUCCUUUUCCUAUCUGCCAAUCCCAUGAUGAAUAUGUCGCCGCUUCACUCCAUCCCAAAUGGCAACACCACUGUUCAAAUACCCACUGUGGCUCUCUAUAUCCUCCAGAAUCCAAAUGACUGAAAUGGCCCACCUCACUUAAAAAAGGCCCUCAACAACCUCACCCCUUAAUACGUUUAAAUGCUCGUCUCUGAAUACUAUCCCACAAGCCCUCUAGAUCAGCAUCUUCCAUCGUCUCUAAUGAUCACUCCCCAAUUACCACCUACAAGACUUUUCCCGUACUGCUGCACAAUAUUAUUAUUAUUACAUUUUAUUUACAAGGCGCCACAAGUGUUUUGCAGCGCCGUACAAAGGACAGUACAGGGAGACAAAACUUAGCAUUACAGAAAAUAAAUAACAAAAAUAGAGUACAGGUAACAAAAAGCACCACCAUUCUCAAAACAAAAUACAGCUAAGAUGUAAGUAGCGAGGGAGUAAUCAUUGUACUACUUGGGGCUGGCGGCCAUAGAUAGAGAUGAGCCUUUACCAGCAGGAGAAAAAGCUGAAUUCUGCUCAGACUCUCCCCCAGCUUUCAAAUCUUUCAAUGCUCUCUGACAGCCCAACUCUUUACUAGAUCCUACCAACCUCCCACACUGGUAUACACUCGCAGCUCACCCACGAGAAGUUACACUUAUCUCAGCUGUACCCUUUUACCACUACAAUAUAAACGGUCACAGGUACUGUAGGGCUCUCUUCACUUGGUUUUGAUGUGUAAGCACAAAAAAUGGUGGCCAAAUGCCCUUUUCAUAGGUUUGCCGCAGACCAGUAAGUAUUAAAGUAGUCUGCAGCGGAUAUCAGAGAGACAACCACUGUGGGCUGCCGGCAUCAAGCUUCAGAAAGCAACUGUUUCUGGAGAUGGUGACUGAUAAGCAACGCCACCUGGAGAACUAUGGGCUUCUUUCUGCAGAAACCCCUGGAGAGGGAUCUCAAGGAUCCUUUUCCAUCCCCCUGUGGCUUAUGCAUGCGCUGGCUGACUGCUGUUCAUGCGCAAUAGGACUCCCGGUUCAUAAACCCGGCAGUCCUCUCUUCACAAGGGACCGCUCAGAAGAGCUGCCCCGUUCAUAUCUACAUUAUAUAUUCUGGAUAUAUACAGGUUUCUGUUCCCCCACUACCUGGUCCUGUGGUGCAUUCUAUAUCGGUAAUAACAACAGAAAAUGUUCAUCACAUAAUUACAGCAAAACAGCCAAGAUCCCCACCUCAUCUCCCUCAUGGGGCUGGAAAUCAAACCGUGCUGGGGGGCAGAAGGCAUCACUGCGCAUCUCCAUUAUCUUGUUCUUGUCUGCCAGGGCAUCUAAGUUAUCCACAGCCCCCUCAAUGGCCUGAAGGCCUUGGUGCCUGGAGGCCUGGAUCCGCUCCUCAGCCUGCAAGUACACGCGCAGCGUCUUCCCCACAGACAGGUGGAAGCCGAGGUCGCAGCACUGUUGGGAACAGGGAAAUCGCACAUUACUGAGGCACAAUAAUCAGGGCGUUGAAUAAGAAGAGGAGGAUCCUCUUACAUCGAUGAGGUCACUGAUGUCGUGGAUGUAGUAGUUAUUGAGGUUGGAGUUCACGGUGUUCAGGUUAAUGAGAUACUCAUUGCGGGCCUUUGUGCACUUCUGACUGUUCUCCAAGUAUUUCUUUAACCUCUGGAAACACAAUGAAAACAUCAAGCAAAGAAGCUGGAACACAAUUACAAAGAUGUCCCUACAGGUGUGUCCUCCUACAUCCUUGCUGCAGUCCUUCAAGGCUGGCACACUUUCUCCGUGGAACACUCCAAUCUGACCAUACUUUCCCUGCCUUACAAUAGUGACCGUAUAUACAUAUCUUAUUUAUGCUGGUUUCAGUGUGCAAUUAUUUCAUCCUACAGUAUAUAAUAAAAGGCUAACGCUGCUCCUCACCUC